AAAAAACCACACACCAAAAGCGAAAAAAGGGUUUUUUAUUUUUUAUUUCAAGAACUUACAACCCAAAAUGCAGAAAAUUUCAGCUAGCCAGAAACACCAACAGCCCACCAUCUCUUCCAAUCUUCAUCACUUAUAACCGAAUCACCCGACCCGACCCGAACCCGUGCCCUACAAACGGGGCAAUUAAGCACCCUCACAAGCCAAGAAUCCACACAUUUCACAUGAAACACGUGUCCACAAUCAGGCAAUUUCCUUACAUAUUCACCAUCCUUAAACCCAUCCAAACAAAUCGCACAAUCCCCAAUAGAUGAUUGAUGUUGGGACACACCACCACAAUAAGGAAUCUCCUCCAACGGCGGAGAACGGUGGAGGUGUCGACGGCGGUGACGAUGACGGCGGCGAAAGGCGGUGGAAGUGAUUAAGAAGUGAAGAAUAACGAGAGCGGCGAAACCAAGAAAGAGAAGGAAAACAAAGAAAAGGGAAAGGAAAAUAGCCAUAACUAUACAUUUUAAGAAAAGGGACAAGGUGAGAAUGAUCGCCGUAGUAGACAAGAUGAGGAAAGCGAGACUGAGAUGAUUUGGACAUGUAAAAAGCAGGUCCGAGGAUGUUGCACUAAGGAGUUGCGAGAUAUUAACUAUAGCUGAAAUUAGGAGAGGUCAAGGUAGACCGAAGAAGAAAUUGGGGUGGGGUGGGGGUGGGGUGGGGGGGGGGAUUGAUUAGACAAGACAUGACACAAUUUCAGUUAGUUAAGGACAUGACGUUAUAUAGAAAGAUAUGGAGGUCAAGUAUUAGGGCCGAAUGUUAGUAGGUAGCUAAGUGUUGCCAUACUUUUAGUAGUAUAUUUUAGGUAUCGUUUAGUUUCUCUUUUCGACUAUAUGUAUGAUAUUUGUUGCUGCAAUUAUUUUGUAUACUACUAUUUCAUUGUCCCUUU